UGGGGAAUUUUGGACAAUGGGCGAAAGCCUGAUCCAGCAAUGCCGCGUGUGUGAAGAAGGCCUUCGGGUUGUAAAGCACUUUUGUCCGGAAAGAAAUGGCUCUGGUUAAUACCUGGGGUCGAUGACGGUACCGGAAGAAUAAGGACCGGCUAACUACGUGCCAGCAGCCGCGGUAAUACGUAGGGUCCAAGCGUUAAUCGGAAUUACUGGGCGUAAAGCGCGCGCAGGCGGUUGUGCAAGACCGAUGUGAAAUCCCCGAGCUUAACUUGGGAAUUGCAUUGGUGACUGCACGGCUAGAGUGUGUCAGAGGGGGGUAGAAUUCCACGUGUAGCAGUGAAAUGCGUAGAGAUGUGGAGGAAUACCGAUGGCGAAGGCAGCCCCCUGGGAUAACACUGACGCUCAUGAACGAAAGCGUGGGGAGCAAACAGG
rnacentral:rRNA from 1 species